rnacentral:rRNA from 1 species
AGAACGAACGCUGGCGGCGUGGAUAAGACAUGCAAGUCGAACGGGAUCACUUGGUAGCAAUAUUGAGUGGUUCAGUGGCGAACGGGUGCGUAACACGUGGAUAACAUUCCGGGAAGCGAGGGAUAGCCCAGGGAAACUUGGAUUAAUACCUCAUGUGGUCGCAAGACUAAAGGCGCAAGCCGCUUCCUGAUUGGUCCGCGGCCUAUCAGCUAGUUGGCGGGGUAAAAGCCCACCAAGGCUACGACGGGUAGCUGGUCUUAGAGGACGACCAGCCACACUGGAACUGAGACACGGUCCAGACACCUACGGGUGGCAGCAGUCGAGAAUCUUUCACAAUGGGGGC